ACAUCCAGCGAACUUUCCAGAGAUGGAUUGGUGCCUUCGGGAACGCUGAGACAGGUGCUGCAUGGCUGUCGUCAGCUCGUGUUGUGAAAUGUUGGGUUAAGUCCCGCAACGAGCGCAACCCUUAUCCUUUGUUGCCAGCGAUUCGGUCGGGAACUCAAAGGAGACUGCCGGUGAUAAACCAGAGGAAGGUGGGGAUGACGUCAAGUCAUCAUGGCCCUUACGAGUAGGGCUACACACGUGCUACAAUGGCGCAUACAAAGAGAAGCGACCUCGCGAGAGCAAGCGGACCUCAUAAAGUGCGUCGUAGUCCGGAUCGGAGUCUGCAACUCGACUCCGUGAAGUCGGAAUCGCUAGUAAUCGUGGAUCAGAAUGCCACGGUGAAUACGUUCCCGGGCCUUGUACACACCGCCCGUCACACCAUGGGAGUGGGUUGCAAAAGAAGUAGGUAGCUUAACCCUCGGGAGGGCGCUUACCACUUUGUGAUUCAUGACUGGGGUGAAGUCGUAACAAGGUAGGCGUAGCGAG
rnacentral:rRNA from 1 species